CAUGAAGUUGGAUUCGCUAGUAAUCGCGCAUCAGCCAUGGCGCGGUGAAUACGUUCCCGGGCCUUGUACACACCGCCCGUCAAGCCAUGGAAGCCGGGGGUGCCUGAAGUCCGUAACCGCGAGGAUCGGCCUAGGGCAAAACUGGUAACUGGGGCUAAGUCGUAACAAGGUAAC
rnacentral:rRNA from 1 species